GCAGACUUCACACGGCCAAGGUACACGCCCAUGUGGGUCGGCAGUGUCUCUCACACGGCUAAGACACACGCCCGUCUCUUAGCCCGUGUGUUUACUACUGAGCAUACUGGCUUGCAAAAUUUAGGUGGAGGGGACACACGGCUAUUCAAUACGUCCAUGGGGCAGACACACGAUCUAGACACAUGCCCGUGUGUCUACCCAUGUGGACCAUUUAAAGGCUAUUUUCCA
rnacentral:lncRNA from 1 species